rnacentral:rRNA from 1 species
CCUACGGGUGGCAGCAGUGAGGAAUAUUGGUCAAUGGGCGAAAGCCUGAACCAGCCAAGUAGCGUGAAGGAUGAAUGCCCUACGGGUUGUAAACUUCUUUUAUAAAGGAAUAAAGUGAGGCACGUGUGCCUUUUUGUAUGUACUUUAUGCAUACGAGUAGGCUAACUCCGUGCCAGCAGCCGCGGUAAUACGGAGGAUCCGAGCGUUAUCCGGAUUGAUUGGGUUUAAAGGGAGCGUAGAUGGGUUGUUAAGUCAGUUGUGAAAGUUUGCGGCUCAACCGUAAAAAUGCUAUUGAUACUGUCAGUCUUGAGUACAGUUGAGGUAGGCGGAAUUCGUGGUGUAGCGGUGAAAUGCUUAGAUAUCACGAAGAACUCCGAUUGCGAAGGCAGCUUACUAAACUGCCACUGACAUUGAUGCUCGAAAGUGUGGGUAUCAAACAGGAUUAGAUACCCCAGUAGUC